AGCUCUGAGCGCGACCCUACCCGGCUCGGGCCCGCAGCAGCCCCGAUUGUCCGAGAGCCUCUCCGAAAGCAAGGCUCUGCGCCGCCCUCUGAGCCCACCUCCUGGCCACAACGCUGCCUGCGCUUCUCCAGCCCAGGCCGGAAGCCCUAUGCUGCCUCCAGAAGCCGUUGGAACUCAAGGUCCCCUUUCACUCCCUUCUUGAGUACCCCUAGCACUUGCUGGGUUGGAGGAGCAGGGAACUCUCGGUUCUCCACUCAGGACUUUCUGGAAGCCCAUCUUCGUAUGCUCACCAGCCCACCCUCCUACGCUGGUCAGAGUGAGAUUGCUAAUCUCAAGACCCCAUUCAAUGCCAGCUUUCAACUACUGCUGAAGACCAAUGUAGGUCCUGGAAUAGAAGAACUGCAGAGUAUGCAGACAAAAGCUACCAUGUCCGCUUGGAGUGACGCCCAGACACGCACAGAGAUGUACAGGAAGCCAAGGAGAGUGGGAUUCACCAGAGUACAGUACAAGUACAGAGUACAGUGCAAGAUGCCCAGU
rnacentral:lncRNA from 1 species